rnacentral:rRNA from 1 species
GACGAACGCUGGCGGCGUGCCUAAUACAUGCAAGUUGAGCGAUGAAGCUUGGUGCUUGCACCAAUUUGAAGAGCAGCGAACGGGUGAGUAACGCGUGGGGAAUCUGCCUUUGAGCGGGGGACAACAUUUGGAAACGAAUGCUAAUACCGCAUAACAACUUUAAACAUAAGUUUUAAGUUUGAAAGAUGCAAUUGCAUCACCCAAAGAUGAUCCCGCGUUGUAUUAGCUAGUUGGUGAGGUAAAGGCUCACCAAGGCGAUGAUACAUAGCCGACCUGAGAGGGUGAUCGGCCACAUUGGGACUGAGACACGGCCCAAACUCCUACGGGAGGCAGCAGUAGGGAAUCUUCGGCAAUGGACGAAAGUCUGACCGAGCAACGCCGCGUGAGUGAAGAAGGUUUUCGGAUCGUAAAACUCUGUUGGUAGAGAAGAACGUUGGUGAGAGUGGAAAGCUCAUCAAGUGACGGUAACUACACAGAAAGGGACGGCUAACUACGUG